rnacentral:lncRNA from 1 species
AUAGUAGAGGGGCAUUAUGUUUUCUGGUCUGUGCGUCCGUCUGUUCGUUCGUCCGUUCAUUCGUCCGUCUGUCCCGCUUCAGGUUAAAGUUUUUGGUCAAGGUAGUUUUUAGUGAAGUUGAAGUCCAAUCAACUUGAAACUUAGUAUACAUGUGCCCUAUGAUAUGAUCUUUCUAAUUUAAAUGCCAAAUUAUAGUUUUGACCCCAAUUU